CAUGGACACGCCCUUUAACGAAACCUCAAUUCCUUCGCAAUUUAACAUGGCAAAGGGCUUUAGAUUACACUGACCAAGUUUGGUGUUGAUCUGAAUAAAUCUCUAGGAGGAGUUCGUUAAAAUACAACCCCUGAAAAUGACAAAAACAACACCAAUUUUGCAGGGAAAAUUAAAAAUAACCGACUUCCUGUUGGGAUUCGGGUUUCGUACCAAGAGACUUUUUUGUAGCUAUUGGUGUGUUACAUAUGUUUACCGAUUUUCGUACAUGUAUAUGACAUGUAGCUCGAGGCGCACUCCAUUGAAAAUGUAUAGGUGGCGCUAUCGAGCCAUUUUGCCACACCCAAUGGAAUAUUAGCCUCCAGAUGUGUUCAGGUCAGUACUCUUAUCAAACAUUUGAAGUUUGGGCAAGAUCUGAUAUUUUAUGACUGAGUUACAACAACUUCUACUCCCAUGGCGAGACAUCGAACUUUGACAUGGCGCCAUGGACACGCCCUUUAACGAAAACUCAAGAUCUUCUCAAUUUAACAUCGUACAGGCCUUUAGAUUAGACUGACGACAAAAAAGACAUUGAUGUCAAAAAUUUCUAGGAGUAGUUUGUCGCAGCGUAAAAUAUGUCACUUCCUGUUGCCAAUAGGUGGCGCUAUGACUAUAACUGAAUAUGGUCGUGUCAAACUGUUCAGGACAGGAGACUCAGCAAACAUGUGAAGUUUGGGGCAGAUUGGUCAUUGUAUGUCUGAGUUAUAGCAACUUCCUGUUUCAUGGCGAAUCAUCGAAAUUCGCCAGGCCGCCACACACAGGCCCUUCAACGAAAACUCAAAAGCUUCGCAAUUUAACAUCGCAAUGGCCUUUAGAUUAGGCAUACCAAAUUUGGUGUUGAUCUGAAUUAAUCUCUAGGAGGAGUUCGUUAAAAUACAACGCAUGGAAAUGACAAAAAUGACACAAAAUUUGCUCAUAAUAUUAGAAAUAACCGACUUCCUGUUGGGUUUCGGAUUUUGCUCCAAGAUACUUUUUUGUAGGUAUUGGAGAGUUACAUGUGUAUACCGAUUUUCAUACAUGUACAUGAAACGUAGCUCGAGGCGCACACCGUUGAACGUGUAUAGGUGGCGCUGUUGAGCCAUUUUGCCACACCCACUUCUGAAACCCAUAUCAGACGUAAAU